GCUUCUCGAGUUUCCUGGGGCACGCUGCCAUCCCGAGACUGGAGAGAGAGGCUCCCCGAAUCGGGGGCAGCUCUUUCAAUACGCUUUACAAUACCUUGGGAAACAAAGCCACAAGCUAAAAUUUACAGAAGACAUUUCUCCCCUUUCCAAAAGCCUCUGUUCUUUCCACCAAGGUCAAUGGAGUCCCAGUUCCCAGGUCCAGGCCUAAGGGCCUUGAGGGCUGGACCAUAACUCUGUAUUCAUACCAAACUCAAGUCUCAGGAGGCGGCAGAGGUGCCGGUAGCAGAAGGGCCUGGGGCUGGGUGAAUGGAUCCAUUUGGAGUCUACGGCUUCCACUCUCUUGAGCUGUAUGUGGCCGAUCCAAGGCAGAAUGCCAACUACAUUCACCCCGUGGGAGUAGAGAGCAUCAUCGUAUGGGCCGGAGUGGAAGUAAGAGCUGUUUUUAACCCAUGCCCCCACCCUCAGAUAGUAGCCAAGCACAAGCACACUUUGCACUUGUGAUCGUUCUGCCUCUGCUUCCCAAGUGACUGGGAUUAAAAACCUAUACUAGCUGGCCUGGAGAAAGCUAACUCUUACAUGCGUAUGGAAAACCUACCACCACUCACUGACUUCUCCCUGAAAACGAAAGGAAAUGGCAACAGCAAAACUGGAGCGCAAGCCCCAUGUGAACUGCUAGGUAAAAAAUGUAAGCUUUAAAGCCAACAUCCGUGAGGAAAUCACGCUGCCUCCCACAAGCACUGCUGGAAGGUGCUCCAGAGGGCUGGGCACCCACGUGUAACCAACCUGAAGGCAGCUCCGGCAGUUGUGUGCCCAUGGGCUCUGUGGCUCUAGAAGGAAAAGAAUGCACAGGAGAGGAAAGAAUUGUUUCCUGAGGACCAAGAUCCUCCACAGAUAGAACUCAGCCAAGUGGGAGGUCACAGUAAAAGAUUGAGAAACCUAACACAGAAGAAAUCCACAGAGCCUCCAACAUGAUUGAUCACAUCAGGGACGUGAAAAGAGUAUACUUCAUUAUAUUCUUGUGGGAAAACGCUUUAUUCAUACCCUGUGUGAUCCUAGACCCCCAUGCAGCCUUUAAAAUGGCAUUACUACCCCUGCUAAUCCUUCUGUAAAUGCUUUGGGCUUUGCUACAUAGAUUGAUCACCUGUGGGAAUGACCGUUUUCUUUGUCCGUGUCUAUAUCUGCAUUUUUUACCUCCUUUCUUUUCCUUACUCCUCUGGGUUGGACUUCCCCUUAGUGGAUAGGAAGAACCAGGAUAGAAGGCACUCUU
rnacentral:sRNA from 1 species